GAAAGCCGGAUGAGGGAAAACCUCACGUCCGGUUUGAUGAGGAGGGGCAGGCAUCCCUGCCCUUUACUCUAU
rfam:Clostridia bacterium BRH_c25 BRHa_1001609, whole genome shotgun sequence.